rnacentral:rRNA from 1 species
GUCCACGCUGUAAACGAUGAGUGCUAGGCGUCGGCACGCUUGCGUGUCGGUGCCGCAGCUAACGCGUGAAGCACUCCGCCUGGGGAGUACGGUCGCAAGAUUAAAACUCAAAGGAAUUGACGGGGGCCCGCACAAGCGGUGGAGCAUGUGGUUUAAUUCGACGCAACGCGCAGAACCUUACCAGGGCUAGACAACAUCGGACAGCUCUAGAAAUAGGGUCUUCCCGCAAGGGACCGGUGGUUCAGGUGCUGCAUGGCUGUCGU